AUGAAGCCCUUCGGGGUGGAUUAGUGGCGAACGGGUGAGUAACACGUGGGCAAUCUGCCCUUCACUCUGGGACAAGCCCUGGAAACGGGGUCUAAUACCGGAUAAUACUCCUGCCUGCAUGGGCGGGGGUUGAAAGCUCCGGCGGUGAAGGAUGAGCCCGCGGCCUAUCAGCUUGUUGGUGGGGUAAUGGCCCACCAAGGCGACGACGGGUAGCCGGCCUGAGAGGGCGACCGGCCACACUGGGACUGAGACACGGCCCAGACUCCUACGGGAGGCAGCAGUGGGGAAUAUUGCACAAUGGGCGAAAGCCUGAUGCAGCGACGCCGCGUGAGGGAUGACGGCCUUCGGGUUGUAAACCUCUUUCAGCAGGGAAGAAGCGAAAGUGACGGUACCUGCAGAAGAAGCGCCGGCUAACUACGUGCCAGCAGCCGCGGUAAUACGUAGGGCGCAAGCGUUGUCCGGAAUUAUUGGGCGUAAAGAGCUCGUAGGCGGCUUGUCACGUCGGAUGUGAAAGCCCGAGGCUUAACCUCGGGUCUGCAUUCGAUACGGGCUAGCUAGAGUGUGGUAGGGGAGAUCGGAAUUCCUGGUGUAGCGGUGAAAUGCGCAGAUAUCAGGAGGAACACCGGUGGCGAAGGCGGAUCUCUGGGCCAUUACUGACGCUGAGGAGCGAAAGCGUGGGGAGCGAACAGGA
rnacentral:rRNA from 1 species